rnacentral:rRNA from 1 species
CAGUCGCCGCGGUAAUACGUAGGUGGCAAGCGUUGUCCGGAAUUAUUGGGCGUAAAGCGCGCGCAGGCGGAUCAGUUAGUCUGUCUUAAAAGUUCGGGGCUUAACCCCGUGAUGGGAUGGAAACUGCUGAUCUAGAGUAUCGGAGAGGAAAGUGGAAUUCCUAGUGUAGCGGUGAAAUGCGUAGAUAUUAGGAAGAACACCAGUGGCGAAGGCGACUUUCUGGACGAAAACUGACGCUGAGGCGCGAAAGCCAGGGGAGCGAACGGGAUUAGAUACCCCCGUAGUCCCUGUCCUUAUACAC